rnacentral:rRNA from 2 species
AGCGGCAGACGGGUGAGUAACGCGUGGGAAUCUACCUUAAGCUACGGGAUAACAGAGAGAAAUUUCUGCUAAUACCGUAUGUGGCCUAUGGGCGAAAGAUUUAUCGGCUUAAGAUGAGCCCGCGUUGGAUUAGCUAGUUGGUGGGGUAAAGGCCUACCAAGGCGACGAUCCAUAGCUGGUCUGAGAGGAUGAUCAGCCACACUGGGACUGAGACACGGCCCAGACUCCUACGGGAGGCAGCAGUGGGGAAUAUUGGACAAUGGGCGGAAGCCUGAUCCAGCCAUGCCGCGUGAGUGAAGAAGGCCUUAGGGUUGUAAAGCUCUUUCACCGGUGAAGAUAAUGACGGUAACCGGAGAAGAAGCCCCGGCUAACUUCGUGCCAGCAGCCGCGGUAAUACGAAGGGGGCUAGCGUUGUUCGGAUUUACUGGGCGUAAAGCGCGCGUAGGCGGAUAGAUAAGUCAGAGGUGAAAUCCCGGGGCUCAACCCCGGAAUUGCCUUUGAUACUGUUUAUCUUGAGUGCAGAAGAGGUAAGUGGAAUUCCGAGUGUAGAGGUGAAAUUCGUAGAUAUUCGGAGGAACACCAGUGGCGAAGGCGGCUUACUGGUCUGCAACUGACGCUGANGCGCGAAAGCGU